rnacentral:misc_RNA from 1 species
GAUGAAGAACGUAGCGAAAUGCGAUAAGUAAUGUGAAUUGCAGAAUUCAGUGAAUCAUCGAAUCUUUGAACGCACAUUGCGCCCGUCAGUAUUCUGGCGGGCAUGCCUGUUCGAGCGUCAUUACGCCCCUCAAGUCCCCUGUGGACUUGGUGUUGGGGAUCGGCGAGGCUGGUUUUCCAGCACAGCCGUCCCUUAAAUUAAUUGGCGGUCUCGCCGUGGCCCUCCUCUGCGCAGUAGUAAAACACUCGCAACAGGAGCCCGGCGCGGUCCACUGCCGUAAAACCCCCCAACUUUUUAUAGUUGACCUCGAAUCAGGUAGGACUCCCCGCUGAACUUAAGCAUAUCAAUAAGCGGAGA